GGUCAUUUCUGAAGGAUGUCUUCAACAACAAAUGGACUUGGCUUGUUCUUUAUCUUGUUUCUAUGUCCUGUAACGUGUGUUGAGUUCCAUCAGUCUCCUUCCCUGAUAGUUAAAGAUGGGGGAGACGUGGAGAUUCACUGUAGCCAUAAUGACAAUAACCUGCCUGUGAUGUUGUGGUACCAACAGAAACAGGCCAGUUCUGCUCUGUCUCUGAUAGGUCAGUGUGGAGCAGGAGGCCCCGUCGUGCUCCAGCCCAGAGACCUCUUCUCCUUUCCUGGUAACACCAGUACCUCCGGUCCGGUCAUCCUGACGUGCUCCAUGGGCCCUGGCAUCAGCAUGUCCAGCUACACCAUGUACUGGUACCGACAGGUCCGCUACGGUGGCCCGGUAGAGUUCCUCAUAAAGGAAUACGAUGCCCCUACGGGCCAGUACCAGGUGACCUUGGACCCGACAGGGAACAGCUUCGUCCUGCAGGUCUCAGACCUGGUUGUGGAGGACACUGCUGUUUACUACUGCGCAGCCAAGAGAUAUCAGGCAUACUUUGGGUCUGGCACCAAACUGACUGUUCUGGAUCCAAAUAAUGAAAUUACUAAACCCAAUGUGAAGAUCCUGCCCCCCUCCUCUCAGGAGGGUAAAGGCAAGGGGGAGAAGAAGACCCUGGUGUGUGUGGCCACUGAUUUCUACCCUGACCAUGUCACUGUGUCCUGGAAGAUAAAUGAAGACAAAGUUGUUGAGGGAGUGGGGACUGAUAGCAUGGCUAAAUGGGAUGACAACACCAAGAAAUACAGCAUCACAAGCAGACUGAGAGUCCUGAACAAAAAGUGGCACAAAGAGUCCAACACCUUCACAUGCACUGUUGACUUCUUCAAUGGACAAAGUAAUGAAAAUGUGACUGACUCUAUAAACGGAAGCUCCGAAGGUGCUGAACAUGAUGCAUUUAACGUUGAAAACCUUGUGAAGAGCUCAGUUUUUGCCAAACUGGCCUACAUCAUCGUCAUCGCUAAGAGUACAUUCUACGGGCUAGUCAUCACGGCUCUAUUUUGGAAGUUCCACGGCUCCUCAGAGAAACGUUGUAACUGAUCACUGGCCGAGAUCCAUCAGUCCAUGGAAGUUGGGCUCAAUAAACUGGUUCCACAAACACACAUUUCCUUUAUGUGAUUAUAUUGUACAUUUUGCUUAGUUUCUGAACUACUAUUAUGAUGUUCUUUAUAAUUUCCUAUGAAUGUAACCUUGCAAUAUUUGUCUAUGUAUGUUGUUGUAAUUCAUUUUUCCAUUAAAUUGCAACACAAAUGCACGUGUUU